rnacentral:rRNA from 1 species
AUUGAACGCUGGCGGCAUGCUUUACACAUGCAAGUCGAACGGUAACAGGUUAAGCUGACGAGUGGCGAACGGGUGAGUAAUGCAUCGAAACGUGCCCGAUCGUGGGGGAUAACGCAGCGAAAGCUGCGCUAAUACCGCAUACGAUCUGAGGAUGAAAGCGGGGGACCGUAGGGCCUCGCGCGAUCGGAGCGGCCGAUGUCAGAUUAGGUAGUUGGUGGGGUAAAGGCUCACCAAGCCGACGAUCUGUAGCUGGUCUGAGAGGACGACCAGCCACACUGGGACUGAGACACGGCCCAGACUCCUACGGGAGGCAGCAGUGGGGAAUUUUGGACAAUGGGCGAAAGCCUGAUCCAGCAAUGCCGCGUGCAGGAAGAAGGCCUUCGGGUUGUAAACUGCUUUUGUACGGAGCGAAAAGGCUCUCUCUAAUACAGGGGGCUCAUGACGGUACCGUAAGAAUAAGCACCGGCUAACUACGUGCCAGCCGCCGCAGUAA